rnacentral:rRNA from 1 species
UAAAGCCCUUUCAGUGGGAAAGAUGAUGACGGUACCCACAGAAGAAGCCCCGGCUAACUCCGUGCCAGCAGCCGCGGUAAUACGGAGGGGGCCAGCGUUGUUCGGAAUUACUGGGCGUAAAGGGCGCGUAGGCGGUUGAUCAAGUCAGGAGUGAAAUCCUCGGGCUUAACCCGGGAACUGCUCCUGAAACUGGUCGACUGGAGUACGGUAGAGGAUGGUGGAAUUCCCCGUGUAGAGGUGAAAUUCGUAGAUAUGGGGAGGAAGACC